AGCUGAGUCAGUGACACCAGCAGCUCUUUGACCAGCAGCCUGUUCACCAGCAGCUCUUUGACCAGCAGCCUGUUCACCAGCAGCCUGUCGACUGGUUCUCUCUCAUCCACUGAUCAGCCUCAGUCCCAACCUGCAGCUCCUGAGAACCUGGUUCCAGCAGCAGCAUCUCACAGGUCUCCAUUUUCCAUCUUUGAUCGGUUUUCCACCUGAAGUCGGAGAAAAUGGCCUCAAUCCCAUCAACUGGUUCUCUCAUCGCCACCCACGACUACUACAGAAGACGAAUCGGCUCCACCUCCAGCAACAGCUCCUGUGGCAGCGCCGAGCACACGGGGGAGGUCAUUCCACACCACCCAGGACUUCCAAGGCAAGACUCCGGCCACUGGUGGACUUCGUUUUUCUUCGCAAAGCAGAACCAGCCCGGCAUGCAGAACGGAUCCGAGAGUCAAAAGAACAAAACCUACACAGUGGCCGACGGUCAGGUGACCUGCAUCGCCCGGGAAAUGGUUCUGAACAGACAACUCAGCGAAAGCAGCGAAUACGGAAAGUCAACGACUCCAGCUUCCUCCUAGUACAUCCUCCCGCCCUGUGACCUCCGACCCCUGAGCUCCUUCACCCUCAGCUCCUUCACCCUCAGCUCCUCACCCUCAGCUCCUUCACCCUCAUCCCCUUCAUCCUCAGCACCUUCACC